GUACGUAGUCUUAACCAUAAACUAUGCCGACUAGGGAUCGGGCGAUGUUACCAUCUUGACUCGCUCGGCACCUUACGAGAAAUCAAAGUUUUGGGUUCUGGGGGAGUAUGGUCGCAAGGCUGAAACUUAAAGAAAUUGACGGAAGGCACCACCAGGAGUUAACCCGCCUAGCCGCUGGCUCUGCUCCGCACAGUACUGCCUCUCUCGAGGCCGGUGGGUGGCCCUAUAACAAUGUACUAGUCCCCUAACUUUAGGGGGCAACACGCUUAAAUUGCGGGGACCUCCAACACUCUGCCCUCCCAAGCCGGUGCUUCGAUGCGCCGGUGGCCAGGUUAACAGCCUGGGUACGGGAACAUGCGGCGGGGUGGACGAUCCGCAGCCAAGCCCCUCUUCGCGGAGGGGAAGGUCCAGAGACUAGACAGGCGUGGGUCGGUGCCGGAGACGCGCCGACUUAAGAUAUAGUCCGAUUCAAGGCGAGAGCCUUGCCUACAACCUCUCUAAAUGGGAGCCUGCGGCUUAAUUUGACUCAACACGG
rnacentral:rRNA from 1 species